GAGGAAUAUUGCGCAAUGGAGGCAACUCUGACGCAGCCAUGCCGCGUGCAGGAAGAAGGCGCUACGCGUUGUAAACUGCUUUUAACCGGGAAGAAACCCCAGGACGUGUCCUGGGUUGACGGUACCGGAGGAAUAAGCACCGGCUAACUUCGUGCCAGCAGCCGCGGUAAUACGAAGGGUGCAAGCGUUAUCCGGAUUCAUUGGGUUUAAAGGGUGCGUAGGCGGAGCGUUAAGUCAGUGGUGAAAUCCUGCAGCUUAACUGUAGACCUGCCAUUGAUACUGGCGCUCUUGAGUGCGCUUGAAGUAGGCGGAAUGUGUCGUGUAGCGGUGAAAUGCUUAGAUAUGACACAGAACACCGAUUGCGAAGGCAGCUUACUAAGGCGAGACUGACGCUGAGGCACGAAAGCGUGGGGAUCGAAC
rnacentral:rRNA from 1 species